AUCAGAAACAAAGUUGAUGCUUCGCUUGUUCUUGGGUGAUCAUUGUUAUAUUAAAUAUUCGAAAUAUGCAAUGUAUUUGGUUACAAUGAUUCGCAACUCUGCAUAUACAAACAGUUUUAAUACCACAGU